CUCCUCUCUAUCAUCUCCGUCUUCACACGAAUUCGUUCGUUUCUACAAAUCUUGAAUCGCAGCCAUGGCGAUGCAAGCAGGCAUGGGAUUCUCUAAGAUCAUCAUCCUAGUCGGAGCAGGGUAUACUGGUACGUUGAUGCUGAAUAACGGUAAAUUAUCUGAUGUGUUGGGCGAACUUCAGAAAUUGGUGAAAGGAUUCGAAA